UACGUAGGGGGCAAGCGUUGUCCGGAUUUAUUGGGCGUAAAGAGCGUGUAGGCGGCUUGGUAGGUCCGUUGUGAAAACUCGAGGCUCAACCUCGAGACGCCGAUGGAAACCAUCAGACUAGAGUCCGGAAGAGGAGAGUGGAAUUCCUGGUGUAGCGGUGAAAUGCGCAGAUAUCAGGAAGAACACCCGUGGCUAAGGCGGCUCUCUAGUACGGUACUGACGCUGAGACGCGAAAGCGUGGGGAGCGAACAGG
rnacentral:rRNA from 1 species